rnacentral:lncRNA from 1 species
AAGGUUUAACUAAACUAGGCACAAACCAUUCACAAUCUUGAGGAUCUGGAACAAAUACUACUUGUUGAGAUUAUUCCAUAAACAUAAAGUGCUUAUGAGGUUCUCUACUGCUAGAAUCUACCAGGCAUGAAUAAUUCACAAGUUUAAAUUAAGGUGUUGCUAAAAUAGAAAAGGAUUAUUCUUUUUGAAACAGACUAAAAAGGUAAAACAGAGGGAGUAUAUACAUAAUAAGUUAGAUAUAACGCUUAAUUUUUACAAUUAUCAACCAUCUCUGACUAAAAAUUUAAAAGCAAUUGUCGAUGUUCCCUCAACAAUGUUUUCAUCCAUUUCAAAUACAUUUUCUCUAUCGUACUCUCUGAUACUUUGAGAAUUGGAUGGAAAUUUCUUUAAUUUCAACAAACCAAUUGUAAUCCCACAAAUGGGAAUGGAAGGUAGUGUUGAAAAAUAUGUUCCAAGAACACAUACAAAAUGAAUGAAGAAGAAGACAAAGAUGAAGAUUAGUGAUAUGAUCAUCGAAAACAGGAUUAGAGGCUUGAAACACACCCCAAAUGCUUUUCUAAAAAUGAUAUUUGCUUUCUCUUCUCUGUGAGAUUGCUAUGGUAUUUAAUGCUAAUAGUUUUAAUGGAUAUGAAAAGCCAAUUGAAUCCUGGACUAAGCAAAUAGUGAAGAAAUUCUUCUGGAAAGCAAAAAAGUCAAGACAUGGUUUUUUGUUGAAGAAGGAAAACCUUUGAAAAAAGUUAUAUCUUUAUAUUCCUGAGAUAGAGUGGCUUGAUAUCACAAAUUGAGCUUAUAUUUUGCAAAAUCAAUGGAUUCUCUGAAUAAUCUCGUAACCACUCAACUCCUUUAAUUUUCUUACUUUUACUAAUGCAAGAUUUUCUUGAUUUCGAGAAAUUGUAACUCCGCACAAGGUAAGUACCUAUCAUAUGGUAAUUUUUUUUUUCUCACAUUUUCGACGCCAACUUGCAUCGAUAUUUUUAAAUAUUUAGUUCUCUAAAGAAAAUCAAAACUCAACCACUAGCUCUUUCAACAUAAUGGGCUGACUCAAUUUAGGAUCAAAUAUGAAUUGAGUUAUUGGAAUCACUAUUAUUUGAUGACUCAAAUAGUACACUAUUUUCUUCUCAACUAUCAAAAAUGUAUCAAGGUUUAACUAAACUAGGCACAAACCAUUCACAAUCUUGAGGAUCUGGAACAAAUACUACUUGUUGAGAUUAUUCCAUAAACAUAAAGUGCUUAUGAGGUUCUCUACUGCUAGAAUCUACCAGGCAUGAAUAAUUCACAAGUUUAAAUUAAGGUGUUGCUAAAAUAGAAAAGGAUUAUUCUUUUUGAAACAGACUAAAAAGGUAAAACAGAGGGAGUAUAUACAUAAUAAGUUAGAUAUAACGCUUAAUUUUUACAAUUAUCAACCAUCUCUGACUAAAAAUUUAAAAGCAAUUGUCGAUGUUCCCUCAACAAUGUUUUCAUCCAUUUCAAAUACAUUUUCUCUAUCGUACUCUCUGAUACUUUGAGAAUUGGAUGGAAAUUUCUUUAAUUUCAACAAACCAAUUGUAAUCCCACAAAUGGGAAUGGAAGGUAGUGUUGAAAAAUAUGUUCCAAGAACACAUACAAAAUGAAUGAAGAAGAAGACAAAGAUGAAGAUUAGUGAUAUGAUCAUCGAAAACAGGAUUAGAGGCUUGAAACACACCCCGAAUGCUUUUCUAAAAAUGAUAUUUGCUUUCUCUUCUCUGUGAGAUUGCUAUGGUAUUUAAUGCUAAUAGUUUUAAUGGAUAUGAAAAGCCAAUUGAAUCCUGGACUAAGCAAAUAGUGAAGAAAUUCUUCUGGAAAGCAAAAAAGUCAAGACAUGGUUUUUUGUUGAAGAAGGAAAACCUUUGAAAAAAGUUAUAUCUUUA